GACAGAGGGUGCAAACGUUGUUCGGAAUUACUGGGCGUAAAGCGAGUGUAGGCGGUUCGAUAAGUCGGAUGUGAAAGCCCCCGGGCUCAACCCGGGAAGUGCACUCGAUACUGUCGAGCUAGAGUAUCGGAGAGGUUGGUGGAAUUCUCGGUGUAGAGGUGAAAAUUCGUAGAUAUCGAGAGGAACACCGGUGGCGAAGGCGGCCAACUGGACGAAUACUGACGCUGAGACUCGAAAGCGUGGGGGAGCAAACAGG
rnacentral:rRNA from 1 species